UACGUAGGGUGCGAGCGUUGUCCGGAAUUAUUGGGCGUAAAGAGCUUGUAGGUGGCUCGUUGCGUCGGGAGUGAAAACCUGCGGCUUAACCGCAGGCCUGCUUCCGAUACGGGCGAGCUAGAGUUCGGCAGGGGAGACUGGAAUUCCUGGUGUAGCGGUGGAAUGCGCAGAUAUCAGGAGGAACACCGGUGGCGAAGGCGGGUCUCUGGGCCGAUGACUGACGUGAGGAGCGAAAGCGUGGGGAGCGAACAGGA
rnacentral:rRNA from 1 species